CCCCCCCAUAAGAGGUCCAGCCUGCCCAGUGACCAUGUUCAACGGCCGCGGUAUCCUGACCGCGCGAAGGUAGCGUAAUCACUUGUUCUUUAAAUGAGGACUAGUAUGAACGGCAUCACGAAGGUUACACUGUCUCCUUUUUCCACUCAGUGAAACUAAUCUCCCCGUGAAGAAGCGGGCAUAAAAAUAUAAGACGAGAAGACCCUAUGGAGCUUUAAACUCACUGACAAUUGCUACACCACCUUACAUAACCUAAAAGUAUCGCAAUCUGAUCACGCGUUUUCGGUUGGGGCGACCGCGGGGAAAAAGACAACCCCCACACUGAACAGGGCCAACCCCUGAGCAAAAAACCACAAUUUUACGCACCAACAAACUGACAGCUUUUGACCCAAUAUUUUUGAUCAAUGAACCAAGUUACCCUAGGGAUAACAGCGCAAUCCACUUCAAGAGCCCUUAUCGACAAGUGGGUUUACGACCUCGAUGUUGGAUCAGGGUACCCCGGUGGCGCAGCCGCUACCAAAGGUUCGUUUGUUCAACGAUUAAAACCC
rnacentral:rRNA from 1 species